rnacentral:rRNA from 1 species
UACGAAGGGGGCUAGCGUUGUUCGGAAUCACUGGGCGUAAAGCGCACGUAGGCGGAUGUGUCAGUCAGGGGUGAAAUCCCGGAGCUCAACUCCGGAACUGCCUCUGAUACAGCACGUCUUGAGUUCGAGAGAGGGUGGGGUGGGAAUUCCUAGUGUAGAGGUGAAAAUUCGUAGAUAUUAGGAAGAACACCGGUGGCGAAGGCGGCCCACUGGCUCGAUACUGACGCUGAGGUGCGAAAGCGUGGGGAGCAAACAGGG